rnacentral:rRNA from 1 species
GGGCCCGCACAAGCGGUGGAGCAUGUGGUUUAAUUCGAAGCAACGCGAAGAACCUUACCAGGUCUUGACAUACCUUCGUCGCUAUUCCUAGAGAUAGGAAGUUCCCUUCGGGGACAACGGGAUACAGGUGGUGCAUGGUUGUCGUCAGCUCGUGUCGUGAGAUGUUGGGUUAAGUCCCGCAACGAGCGCAACCCUUAUUGUUAGUUGCCAUCAUUCAGUUGGGCACUCUAGCAAGACUGCCGGUGACAAACCGGAGGAAGGUGGGG